AGUUUAUGAAACCAGGAAUCAUUGUUUCAUAUUAGCUAGAAUGGGGAACUGGUUGUAACCCAGUAAUGAUAGAACUUAUAUAUGUAUAUAUCUUGCUGACACUAUUACUUGCCUGAUGAAGAAUCCGUUCAGUAUUCGAAUGUGUUGUUUUUAAAUAAUAAUAUAGCUCAUAGUUAUUCAUACUUGGAUUUAUCACUCAAUGAGGAGAAGUGCCUUGGUAAUGUCCAUUUUACAAGCUGUUGACCUGCAACACUGCAACAUUUCACUUGACCAACCUGCAUCUGCAGGAAUCGAAUGAACCCAAAGGCUGCUAACUCUUUACAAACAACUAUACAACUACCUUAGUCAUGCUAAUAUCUACUGAAAAAACAAGACCACAACAUGGGGAAAAUGCAAAGUAAGAAAAAAAACAUAAUAAAUGUAUCUAGUAUGGCUCUCAUAUAGUUUUAUGACAUGAUAAUAGGUUUAUGGUAACUAUAACAUGUAAUGGAAUGCAAUGGAAACUUUUGCGGCUUCUUACAAAUAAGAAUGGAGAUAAAAUCCAAAGCUUAGUUCUAUAGUCAAAGAAUCAAAGAAUUUGAGUGUACAGCGCUGCGGAAUACUAUUACUAUUAAUAGUAUUCCUGGCAAAAGAAUAAUGUGUCACCAGUGCUGCAUGACCUCUAGGGUAUAUGAAGCCCGUCCAGUGCCUCUUAUCUACCAAGGUACUCUGGACAUUCUGCAGUUUGCCCAUUAAAAGAAAACAUCUGUGUCCUGGAUACUAAUAAGAUUGGAAAAAAUACCUCCCGGCAACCUAACAAAGAAGCUCCUGUAUAUGUAAUGCCAGGAUUUUAAGAAGUGGAAUUAAGCUUGAAACUACAGCAGUAGAAAGUACAUGUAAAUACACCCACAAGGGGGCAGUGUAAAUCAGCCAGCAAACAGCUCCAGCCCACUCCACCUUCUGUAACUGCAUAGAUAUGGUUGCCCAAACAGAAUGUCACUUGCCCUGCAAACAUCUUUGGUGCCAUUUGAAAGCAGCCAGGAUUUCUAGCGUAGCCUUAUGUCACUUCUUGUUACAUAGCAGAACAGUUGCUCCAUAACAAUUAGCUCACAUUUUAGCUAAGCACCAAUAACCAGUACAGUGCGAUAUGUAGUUCGAGAGUAAUUCCGUCUCAACGCUGCCAAGACUGAAUCUUCCCACAGAGAUUUAAACAUCCAGUUUGGCUCCAGCUUGAAACAAAUACUGACAAUGAAUGAAAAAAAUAAACGGUAUUCCCAGUAAAGACUAUUUCACAUGAUUUUAUACAACAUAAUGGCAGUCGACCGAUGUCCUGGCAUUAGAAGCAUUCCUUUUCGAUGGAGUGGACAUACAAGUCAGCUCGGCAUCACACUGUUUUAUGCUAUCAUAGAGGUAAAUGGGA